UGCCGUGACCAUUUUCAAGACGCAGCUGGCUUGACCGCAGUAUUAGACUGCUGUAUGUUUGCAUACAGGGUCUGUGAUAACUUUAAAUAUUUAAAAAGUUUUUUUUCUGGGACAGAGCAUGGGUCAAAUAUGCACAAGGGCUGGGUUGCGGCAGGAAGGGCAUCCGGCGUAAAACGUGACAAUUCGGCAGUGCGGAUCACUGGAGACGUCAGGCAGCUGCUGGAAGAUCUCAUGAUUGGAGAAGAGUGUUGAUUUUACACUCAAAUUCUUUUUCAAGAUGCUCUCGCUGGCUCUGAGCUCACUGAGGAUGAAGAGGCCACAGCAACAUCUGGUCCAGAUGAGGGAACAAGGGCAGGUGGAGUGAUGGAGGAUCUCAUCCACGGCACUAGACCAUUUCCAGGAUGCUGCUGUGGAUUUCUCCUUUCUUACCAGUCUGCAGACAUUUCAGAUCAUACAAA